GAUGAACGCUGGCGGCGUGCUUAACACAUGCAAGUCGAACGGAAAGGCCAGUGCUUGCCCUGGUACUCGAGUGGCGAACGGGUGAGUAACACGUGGGUGAUCUGCCCUGUACUUCGGGAUAAGCUUGGGAAACUGGGUCUAAUACCGGAUAGGACAACCUUUUGGAUAUGGUUGUGGAAAGCUUUUGCGGUAUGGGAUGAGCUCGCGGCCUAUCAGCUUGUUGGUGGGGUAAUGGCCUACCAAGGCGUCGACGGGUAGCCGGCCUGAGAGGGUGUACGGCCACAUUGGGACUGAGAUACGGCCCAGACUCCUACGGGAGGCAGCAGUGGGGAAUAUUGCACAAUGGGCGCAAGCCUGAUGCAGCGACGCCGCGUGGGGGAUGAAGGCCUUCGGGUUGUAAACUCCUUUCGCUAGGGACGAAGCUUUUUUGUGACGGUACCUGGAGAAGAAGCACCGGCUAACUACGUG
rnacentral:rRNA from 1 species